CUGAGUAAAUUGGGUCUCUAUGGCCCAUACUCCCACCCUUUUGUGUACCUUACCAAAUUUUUAAGUUGCCUUGGUAGGAACCUACCCUCCCUCUCUUAAUUGAGAAAGGUAGGCCUACCAUUGGAACUCUUUUAAAACUCUUUUUGAAUUGAGUCGUCUGAGAAUAAAUUCAAAUGAAUUA
rnacentral:misc_RNA from 1 species